rnacentral:rRNA from 1 species
UACCCUGGGGAUAACAGGCUUAUCUCCCCCAAGAGUCCACAUCGACGGGGCGGUUUGGCACCUCGAUGUCGGCUCAUCACAUCCUGGGGCUGUAGUAGGUCCCAAGGGUUGGGCUGUUCGCCCAUUAAAGUGGUACGCGCGCUGGGUUCAGAACGUCGUGAGACAGUUCGGUCCCUAUCCGUCGCAGGCGUAGGAAAUUUGAGAAGACCUGUCCUUAGUACGAGAGGACCGGGAUGGACGUACCUCUGGUGUACCAGUUGUCCUGCCAAGGGCAUGGCGGGGUAGCUAUGUACGGAAUGGAUAAGCGCUGAAAGCAUCUAAGCGCGAAG